ACGUUAGCGGCGGACGGGUGAGUAACACGUGGAUAACCUACCUAUAAGACUGGGAUAACUUCGGGAAACCGGAGCUAAUACCGGAUAAUAUUUCGAACCGCAUGGUUCGAUAGUGAAAGAUGGUUUUGCUAUCACUUAUAGAUGGACCCGCGCCGUAUUAGCUAGUUGGUAAGGUAACGGCUUACCAAGGCGACGAUACGUAGCCGACCUGAGAGGGUGAUCGGCCACACUGGAACUGAGACACGGUCCAG
rnacentral:rRNA from 1 species